UCCCCUUGGCAAUGGGCAAAGAGACACCUUUUAGUGGUGUUGUUCUUAUAUCAGUCAGGGGUGAAGCAAAUGACAGUUCUUUGUUCAUCCUAACUUGAUGCCUGGGUUGGUGGCCAAAGCUGUAUUAUGCCAGGGACAGAGAA